UUGACCUCGGAUCAGGUAGGAGUACCCGCUGAACUUAAGCAUAUCAU
rnacentral:rRNA from 1 species